rnacentral:rRNA from 1 species
UACGAAGGAUGCAAGCGUUAUCCGGAUUCAUUGGGUUUAAAGGGAGCGUAGGUGGCCUUAUAAGUCAGUGGUGAAAUCUCUGGGCUUAACCCAGAAAUUGCCAUUGAUACUGUAGGGCUUGAGUAUAGUUGCCGUUGGCGGAAUAUGACAUGUAGUGGUGAAAUACAUAGAGAUGUCAUAGAACACCGAUUGCGAAGGCAGCUGACGAAACUAUAACUGACACUGAGGCUCGAAAGUGCGGGGAUCAAACAGGAUUAGAAACCCUGUAGUCC